AGCAGUGGGGAAUAUUGCACAAUGGGCGCAAGCCUGAUGCAGCGACGCCGCGUGAGGGAUGACGGCCUUCGGGUUGUAAACCUCUUUCGGUAGGGACGAAGCGCAAGUGACGGUACCUACAGAAGAAGGACCGGCCAACUACGUGCCAGCAGCCGCGGUAAUACGUAGGGUCCGAGCGUUGUCCGGAAUUACUGGGCGUAAAGAGCUCGUAGGUGGUUUGUCGCGUUGUCCGUGAAAACUCACAGCUCAACUGUGGGCGUGCGGGCGAUACGGGCAGACUGGAGUACUGCAGGGGAGACUGGAAUUCCUGGUGUAGCGGUGGAAUGCGCAGAUAUCAGGAGGAACACCGGUGGCGAAGGCGGGUCUCUGGGCAGUAACUGACGCUGAGGAGCGAAAGCGUGGGGAGCGAACAGGAUUAGAUACCCUGGUAGUCCACGCCGUAAACGGUGGGUACUAGGUGUGGGUUUCCUUCCUUGGGAUCCGUGC
rnacentral:rRNA from 1 species